rnacentral:rRNA from 1 species
GGGUGGUAAAUUUCAUCUAAAGCUAAAUACUGGCCGGAGACCGAUAGCGCACAAGUAGAGUGAUCGAAAGGUUAAAAGCACCUUGAAAAGGGAGUUAAACAGCACGUGAAAUUGUUGAAAGGGAAGCGCUUGCGGCCAGACUCGGGGGGCGGGGUUCAGCGGGCGCUCGUCGCCCGUGCACUCCCCGCGUUCCCGGGCCAGCAUCAGUUUCGACGGCCGGUCAAAGGCCCCCGGAAUGUGUCGUCUCUAGGGACGUCUUAUAGCCGGGGGUGCAAUGCGGCCCGUCGGGACUGAGGAACGCGCUCCGGCUCGGAUGCUGGCGUAAUGGUCGUAAGCGGC